rnacentral:rRNA from 1 species
CCUACGGGUGGCAGCAGUGAGGAAUAUUGGUCAAUGGGCGGGAGCCUGAACCAGCCAAGUCGCGUGAGGGAAGAAGGUACUGAGUAUUGUAAACCUCUUUUGCCAGGGGACAAAGGCGGCCACGGGUGGCCGUAAGAGGGUACCUGGAGAAAAAGCAUCGGCUAACUCCGUGCCAGCAGCCGCGGUAAUACGGAGGAUGCGAGCGUUAUCCGGAUUCAUUGGGUUUAAAGGGUGCGUAGGUUGUUUUAUAAGUUAGCGGUGAAAUACCGAUGCUCAACAUCGGGGCUGCCGCUGAUACUGUAGGACUAGAGAUCGGAUGCAGCAGGCGGAAUGUGUAGUGUAGCGGUGAAAUGCAUAGAUAUUACACAGAACACCGAUUGCGAAGGCAGCUUGCUAGGCCGGAUCUGACACUGAUGCACGAAAGCGUGGGGAUCGAACAGGAUUAGAUACCCCUGUAGUC